GUUAAGAGGACUAACCUUUCUGGACGACAUUGCCAUCGACAUCACAGCAGAUGAGAGAGAAAGAGAGACCAGAGUUGUGGACCCUGGAGGCAAUUACCAUACUGCCGUGAUAAUGUUCCUUGGUCUAACCAUAACUUAAGUGAGAACUGAAGCCUACCAGUAAAAUGGGGGCGUUGUAAUUAAUAUCCUCCGACAUUGGAGAAUACAGGGGAGAGGUGUCAGAGGAAGAGGAGAUGGAGGAUGGGGCGAAGUAAAGACUAAGAUUGAAGAGAACUAACUAAUGGCCUGAUGACAGGGUGGAUCGCGAUGGAGGUUGGGGGAGAGGAGGCUGAAGAAGUGGAGACAAAUCAGUUUAGAUCCAUUCUGUUGAUUAGUUUAACAUUUAUUUUGAACAUCAGUAUUUAAAUUUUUUUCUCAUUUAGAUUAUUAAAUUAAGAUAAUUUUAUUGUUUUUAUGAAGAUGUUCUCUUACAUUUUUAAUAUUUGUUUGUACUUCUGCCUGGUAAAAAAAUACUGUUUUCCUACAGUUACCUAACAAUGUACAUGUUCUCUCACUGAUUUGAGAAAGCAAAGUGGCCAAUUCGCUCAUCAGUGAGACAAUGUUAACAUUGUCUCACUCUAAUUACUUUGUCUCACUCCAGAUUUGCAACGUGAAGGCACAAAAUAGUGAGCGCGUAACAUGCAGACAAGGUCGUAUGUGCGCGAAAUACGUUGGCAGCACUGGCUGUAAAUCAGCUGGUCAGCUGUUUUACUGUUGUAUCAUUAAAUGUCAUAUUAAAAGUUCACUUCUGUGUAAAAAUAUGUUACGUUUCUUUACCAAUUUAUUUGUUUUAUGGUAACUGUAGGAAAAAUAUAAUGUGCAGCUCGAGUGCAAAGUGCAAUUGCCUCACUCGAGAAACCAUUCCUCACUCGCCUACGGCUCGUGAGUAAGUAUUUCUCUCGAGUGAGUCAAUUUAUCACUUUGCUCACUAGUUGCACAAAUAAAUUAUUAUUAUUAUUAUUAUCUUUGUUAAAAUGAUUACUUUCACUAACUGACCUUGUCUUGGGUAAAAAGAGAUAUCUUGAUAUUUAACUAGCAGGGUGCCUGUUCUAUGGGCGGGGAUUGUAUAAGUCAGUAGAAACCUUCUUAUAUUUCGAUACUUGGUAAAUUAAUCAUUUCCAACUUUAUAUAGUAUAGAUCGCUAUUCCUGUAUUGAUGUACU